rnacentral:rRNA from 1 species
AUGGCCGAUCGAUUGAAUCGACGGGGAGGGCUUAAUUGCGGCCUUUGCCCCCUUUGCAAGCAAGUUCAAGAGUCUGCUGCCCACCUCCUAUUCCAAUGUAGAUUCAUGGUUAGAGUUUGGAAUGAGAUCACCGCUUGGCUGGGCAUCCACGACUACUCGCCAAUGUCUUGGCGGAAUGAAGAUUCGGUUCGAGCUUGGUGGCAAAUGACGGUGAGCAUGGCUGAGCAUAACAGAAAGGCCAUUGCUUACACUAUGAUGCUUGUCUCAUGGGACAUCUGGAAAGAGCGAAAUGCUAGAAUUUUUUGCAACACCAUGGCUCCAUCCACAAUCGUCGUCACGAGAAUCAAAGGGGAAGCCCAUCUUUGGGCACUGGUUGAGGCCAAGCAUUUGAGCAUUCUUAUGUCACGAGAGUAG